rnacentral:rRNA from 1 species
UGGCAUUCAGUCGGCGACUUCACGCCAGAAUACGAAAGACCAGGUAUAUGCACAAAAUGAGAUGCUUGCUUAUCAACAGAAGGAGUCUACUGCUCGCGUUGCGUCUAUUAUGGAAAACACCAAUCUUUCCAAGCAACAGCAGGUUUCCGAGAUUAUGCGCCAAAUGCUUACUCAAGCUCAAACGGCUGGUCAGUAUUUUACCAAUGACCAAAUCAAAGAAAUGACUCGCAAGGUUAGUGCUGAGGUUGACUUAGUUCAUCAGCAAACGCAGAAUCAGCGGUAUGGCUCUUCUCAUAUUGGCGCUACUGCAAAGGAUAUUUCUAAUGUCGUCACUGAUGCUGCUUCUGGUGUGGUUG